rnacentral:rRNA from 1 species
UACGUAGGGAGCAAGCGUUGUCCGGAAUCAUUGGGCGUAAAGCGCGUGUAGGCGGUUCGGUAAGUCUGCUGUGAAAGUCCAGGGCUCAACCCUGGGAUGCCGGUGGAUACUGUCGAACUAGAGUACGGAAGAGGCGAGUGGAAUUCCCGGUGUAGCGGUGAAAUGCGCAGAUAUCGGGAGGAACACCAAUUGCGAAGGCAGCUCGCUGGGACGUCACUGACGCUGAGACGCGAAAGCGUGGGGAGCAACAGGAUUAGAUACCCUGGAGUCCGAGC